rnacentral:tRNA from 1 species
GCCUCCGUGGCGCAAUUGGCUAGCGCGUUCGGCUGUUAACUGAAAGGUUGGAGGUUCGAGUCCUUCCGGGAGUG